GCACCGGGUUUCCUGCAUCUGUGAGCCCCGUGGAAGUAUUACAGGAGUCUGUGAUGAUGAAGCCUUCAACCUUUCUAUUUCAUGGUCCCAUCCUGGCAGCCCUCAGGAACGGCCGAGGAGUUGUGGUGUGUUGACGGUGUCAGCUGCCGAGCUGGCCUGAAGCGUGUGGUCCAAGGAGCCGGGCCUUCUCAGGAGAACGACUAAGAGACAACAGCCUGGUGUCAGCAGGGACUUCCCAGAUAGCGGGUCCGCUUUCUUUCCACCCAGCACGGAUCGGCACGCCCACCUGUCCGAGAGAUAAG